rnacentral:rRNA from 1 species
GUACACGCUGUGACUAGCAUAUCAAUAAGCGGAGGAAAAGAGGGCUAUUACCUACGCUUAGGAUGUUGACGAGACUGUCGAUCUCAUCUAUACAUGACUCUGUGCAUAUCAAUAAGCGGAGGAAAAGGAAACUAACAAGGAUUCCCCUAGUAACGGCGAGUGAAGCGGGAAGAGCUCAAAUUUGAAAUCUUAAAGGGUCUCCCUUUACGAAUUGUAGUUUAAAGAAGUGUUUUCUGUUGAGGUUUCGGUAAAAGUUCUUUGGAAUAGGACAUCAUAGAGGGUGAGAAUCCCGUAUUUGACCUUUACUUUCAACUUUGUGAUACACUUUCAAAGAGUCGGAUUGUUUGGGAAUGCAGUCCAAAAUGGGUGGUAAAUUUCAUCUAAAGCUAAAUAUUGGCGAGAGACCGAUAGCGAACAAGUACCGUGAGGGAAAGAUGAAAAGAACUUUGAAAAGAGAGUUAAACAGUACGUGAAAUUGUCAAAAGGGAAGCGUUUGACACCAGUGUUGUUUUUCUGAAAAUCAAUUAAAGAACUGUUUAUGCUAAGUUGUUUAGACUUUAUCAGCUAACUGUUUAGUUUUGAGCUUUUCUUUAAUGCACUUUUCAGUUAACAAGUCAACAUCAAUUUCUUUUGCUGUAAAAAAGCUUGAGGAAGGUGGCUUGAGAUUCGUCUUAAGUGUUUAUAGCCUCUUGCCUAUGCAGUCGGAGAGAUUGAGGUCUGCAGCGUAGAUCCUUCGGGGCUAAAUGCAUUUGUGCUAAGUUAUAGCAUUUUAUAGACAACUUGUUGACUAUGAUUUGUCUUGUAGCUUACUCGCUUAUGUUAUUUUACCUACGCUUAGGAUGUUGAGUCGUAGAGCACGCAG